rnacentral:rRNA from 1 species
CGUAUGAAGACGUUUCACCUCGGUGACAGGGAGACAGGUGGUGCAUGGUUGUCGUCAGCUCGUGUCGUGAGAUGUUGGGUUAAGUCCCGCAACGAGCGCAACCCUUAUUGCUAGUUACCAUCAUUGAGUUGGGGACUCUAGCGAGACUGCCAGCGAUAAGCUGGAGGAAGUGGGAUGACGUCAAAUCAUCAUGCCCCUUAUGACCUGGGCUACAAACGUGAUACAAUGGCUGGAACAAAGGGAGGCGAAGGGGUGACCUGGAGCGAAACCCAAAAAUACAGUCUCAGUUCGGAUUGAAGUCUGCAACUCGACUUCAUGAAGUCGGAAUCGCUAGUAAUCGCGGAUCAGAACGCCGCGGUGAAUACGUUCUCGGGUUU